rnacentral:rRNA from 1 species
UGUUAGUGGAAGCGUCUGGAAAGGCGCGCGAUACAGGGUGACAGCCCCGUACACAAAAAUGCACAUACUGUGAGCUCGAUGAGUAGGGCGGGACACGUGGUAUCCUGUCUGAAUAUGGGGGGACCAUCCUCCAAGGCUAAAUACUCCUGACUGACCGAUAGUGAACCAGUACCGUGAGGGAAAGGCGAAAAGAACCCCGGCGAGGGGAGUGAAAUAGAACCUGAAACCGUGUACGUACAAGCAGUGGGAGCACCUUCGUGGUGUGACUGCGUACCUUUUGU